rnacentral:rRNA from 1 species
AGAUGGGAGCUUGCUCCCUGAUGUUAGCGGCGGACGGGUGAGUAACACGUGGGUAACCUGCCUGUAAGACUGGGAUAACUCCGGGAAACCGGGGCUAAUACCGGAUGCUUGUUUGAACCGCAUGGUUCAAACAUAAAAGGUGGCUUCGGCUACCACUUACAGAUGGACCCGCGGCGCAUUAGCUAGUUGGUGAGGUAAUGGCUCACCAAGGCAACGAUGCGUAGCCGACCUGAGAGGGUGAUCGGCCACACUGGGACUGAGACACGGCCCAGACUCCUACGGGAGGCAGCAGUAGGGAAUCUUCCRCAAUGGACGAAAGUCUGACGGAGCAACGCCGCGUGAGUGAUGAAGGUUUUCGGAUCGUAAAGCUCUGUUGUUAGGGAAGAACAAGUACCGUUCGAAUAGGGCGGUACCUUGACGGUACCUAACCAGAAAGCCACGGC